CUUUUUUGUCACAAGUAACAUAUACUAGCUAAGCUAACUAAUCAAAAUAUAGGCUGCAAUGGCGGACAACCUCACCAUUAUAUAUGUAUACGCACAUACUACGACAUCUAUAUACUUAAGUUAUGCAUACACAUACACAUGCAUGUAUGUAUCUUUUUCCCUCUAUUCAAUCCCUGUGAAAGCUAAUUGAUCAAGCUCCUGAUGUUGCAUGAGAGAAUUCCAUUGAACAGAACUGAAAUUGUUACCUUCAGAAAGGUCUGUUCCAUAAAAAUUCACACGAGUUCCAUUAUCGCUAAUAGUUAAAGCAGCGUCCUCGCUCUCAAUAUUUCCCUUGGUGAUUUUCUUGCUAGGUUGAACACAACUCUUCUGCUUUCUUUUUAGUGGGUUAAAUAAGUUGUCGAAAGAAGUAAUCGAGAAGUGAAAAUUUUUGUCAUCAGAAAGCCCUUCAUAGAGUAAUGAAGUGCAAGGUUUCUCAUUAGUUUGGAAGCUAAAGGUUGAAGCUUUUCCAAUGCAAGAAAAAUUCUGUGAAGCAAAGAUGUAAGGUAACAUUGGGCAAUCAUUGUAUGGAAUGUUGGAGUCAUUCACUUUUGGGAAGUAGCCACCUGUAGGUUCAUUAUAAAUAGGAACAUUUCCAUCAUCCCAAGUGCCCUUGGGGAGGCUGCUUUUUCCUCUAACUCGACAGAGCACCCAAUCAUCCAGCCUCGUAGAACCUUUUUUCUUAGGAUUCCAGGCCAAUGUCUCCAGCAAUCUAUAUUCAUGCAUGAUCCAAUCUGUUUUAAUUCCUUUAGGAGGCCGUCCUUUGUAAAACACAAGAGCCUUCUUGACACCAAUAUUAGUCGCCCCACAGGAAGUAAGAAUUGGUUUAUCAGUCCCUGUCGCCUUCCAAUAACCUGAGGCAGCUGCCCUAUUUGGUCUUGCUCCAUUAGGGUACUUCCUGUCUCUUGGUGUAAAGAAAUACCAUUCGUCCUCACCAAAAGAAGCUUUCUUUGGCAAGUCCCAUGGAUUGUACUUGUAGAGA
rnacentral:misc_RNA from 1 species